AAUUAGUUGGGGAACAGAUGCUGCAACCCUCUAUGGCCCCACGCGAAUUAUUUAAACCAAUUCUUAUAACUGUUACUCAAGAUAUUUUCAUUCUUUCAUUUUCGCUCUCUUUCUCUCUCCUUCUUCUAGCGCUUUCUCAUAUUUUUCUAUUCCUUUCUUUCUCGAAGCUUCAGCAUUCAAUGGCGGAUUCCACUUUCACGUAACACCAAUUCGUUGUUUCCAUUUUCCAUCAUUCAACAGAACCGAAUUUCCAUAUUUCAGAUCCAUCUCGUCGCUGAAAAACAGCGAGAAAGUAAAGGUUACUUUUGCGAUGGUUUUUCAAUGGAGAUUUGCGUUUGGAUCUCAGGGUUAUUACUUCCAGAGGUUAAAUACAUCUAAGACAUUCCCAAUUCCUCAUCAGUAUCCUUUGAAACUACAAUCUUACUCCCUGAGUGUUUCAGCACCUUGUGCAUCCAUUCAACAAGCCAGAUGGACGUGUGAAGUUAGCGAAGAAAUCAAGUCAGCCAUCUUUGAGAAUAAACUUUUCAGCCUAAGUUAGGACGGAGUUGAAGAAAUCAAGUCAGCCAUCUUUGAGAAUAAACUUUUCAGCCUAAGUUAGGACGGAGUUGAAUGCCCUACAGACUCGUUGGUUCUCAGUAAGCCUUUUGUCACUUGUUCUGUCAUGACUAUUAAGAACUUACGUUAUUACUUCUAAAUCAUAUAAUGUGUCUUGCCCCAUCCUUGAAGAUUUAUGCAUUAUUUACCCUGGUAGCUUCUAUUCCCCACAUUUUUCAUCUUUGUAAACCUUUCUUUAAUAAAGGAUUCAUCAUAUAAUUAAAAUUGUCGUCUUUAGCUAAAACAGGAUAGAAAAUCAUAUAAUUACUUUUGACUGCAUGCAAAUGCUAUACUCUGUUUAAAUUGAAAAACCUUAUUGAUAGUUUUGCAGAUUAAUGUACCAAUUGAGGCCUAGCUGUCAUGUGUUAUAAAACCGUUAAUAAUAAGAUACCAAAUGAUCCAGACCUAUACCAAUACCAUGACAUGUUUGCCAAACCAUAUCACAAGUAGCAGGUGCCGAACUAAAAUACCUAAUCAGAUACCAAACCAAAAUGCUGAACCAAGUAUAAAAAUUAUGUACCAACAUCAAGAAUUCGUUAAUUAAUCAGCAGACUUUUCUAAAAAUAAAACAACAACUAAUUACAAUCAAAGAAGUUCGUUAUUUCUUAAUCUAAUCGACUAAUAUAUUCCAAAAUAGGGAUAUUCAUCCCUGUUUCCAAACCAAUAUCGGGGGAUUUUCUCCCCUGCCCCGCAGAGAAAAACUAUGCCAACAGCGUUCGUUCUAAAUGAGACAAUUUCCAGAGAGAUUUGUACUUAUAAAUAUAAUUUGACAUCCCUACUCCAAAACCAUGUUAUUUUUUGUGUAGAAUUAUAGUUAGCUACACGCACACAGAGACUCCCACAUCGAUAAUAUAAAGCAUAUAGAAUACCAACACUGCAACAUAUAUGAUAGUAUUUGAGUUUUAUUUAUUCAUCUCUUAUUUAAAGAGUUAAAAGUAUUCUAAUCAAAAUUAAUAUUUGUAAUUCUUUGUUGAUAACAUAUUUGACAAUUUUAGAUGUGUAUGAAAUUUGUUCAAAUAAUGUAUAAGAUGUGUGUGAAGAAAAAAAAACUUUUUUUUAUAAAAUAUGUCUGAAUUGUCCGAUAUAUGUUGUAUGAUUGUUGGACAUCCCUUUAAAGAGUGUCGAAUCAAAGGAAAAAUAUUUUUUAAAGGGAUAUUUGUCUGAUUUUUCUGAUACGUGUCCUAUAGAUGUCAUACAACUGUCAGACACCACGACACACUUAUUCUUAGAGGUGUCCGUGUUAGACGAAAAGUCAUCGAUUUUAGCAGAAAGAUCAUAAAGAAACAGCAAGCUCAUGCAUAAAUCUACCGGUUUCCCAUUUAAUCAAUGGGUCCCAUUUUAGCAGAAUAGAAUGAGAAAUAAUGAAGAGUCCGUGAUUGGUAAAUUCUACUACUGGAUAAUAACAAGGAAAAUUCAAAAUAACAUACUGCUCUAUGCUAAACUUAAUCUAGUAUAUGCUGUAACUUAAUUUAGAAGCUACUCUUAACUGUUUCUUUUAAAGUGACAUUAUUUACUCAUCUUUAAAACAAACAUAGGUCAGGUUUUGGGAUGACCACAUAGUUGAAAUUUCUGAAUUCUAUUUUUGAUAAAAUAAAUUAAAACAGACGCGGAAGGGUGUACCGGUGAUUUUCUUGCAAAUUAUGCAAUUGUUGCCUUAACAUUGCUGCCUCCCUUUGCCAGAACUAGAAAAUGAAAGAAAUACAACAUACAUUCUAGUUAGAUAUUAAGGUAAAUGAAUCACUAAUAUGAAUACUUCUAUCAUAAUAAGCAUUAAAUAUAGAAUCUCAGGGAUGUUUGGUUAGGAAGUCUUUCAAGGAAUUUCGAUUUAGAAUUCUUAGAUUGGCACGUCUGAUAUGAAUGAUUUCAAACAUAUUCCCAGAUGUCUACCUAUGGGAAUUGUUUGCACAAAGGCAAUAGAAGUUGAGCCUACAACUUUUUAAUGUUUCUAUCCACCCAUCCCCUCUUUGUUUGUAGUUCUUUUUCCUGCUUUUGUUUUAUCAUGUGCUCUAGUUACUAAAGACCAUAAUUUCACAUAUUAGAUUCUUGCCUUAAAAAAGAUUAUCUUCGCAAUAUAGCCUUUUAAGGGAAAGUGCCCCAAAUUGACUACCAUCUAAAGAAAAGAAAAAGAUAAAUUUUACUCCUUAACAAACUGGAAAACAUGUGAUAAGUCCACUCCAAGUCAUAUUUCGUGGGUUUUAAGUAUGAUAAGCUUAAGAUUAGAAGAGUUAUGAAAAAAAGAAAAAGAUGGUUGUGGAGGGCAGCACUACGGAGACCCAUUUAGACAAUUAGUUAGAAAUUUCUCAUUAAUAACCGGAGGUUGUUGGAGAUACAAGCACGAUGCAAGAAAAUUCUAGUUAGUGAAAGAGAAUCUUUGUUUUCCUUUGAUGAAUUCCGCCUUUUGGCUAAGAAGGUGGAGUAAUCGGCUUUCAACGGAGAUGAUCCUCUCAUGUUGAUUAUUAGAGCGGAGGCCUGCUUCGAGGUUCAAUGGAUUUCUGAAAGCGCGCGCAUUCAACUCACCCAACUCAAUAUGGAACCGUUGAAGGAAUUUGACCGAAUGUUUGUCAUGGAAAAUCUCAAUGAGUCUUUCAUCUUUUGUUUCGGUGCCAGCCGCUUUGGUCUAUUGAAGAUUACAUCUUUGAAUUCGAGCUAUACUUGCUCCAAUGUGGUUCGUUGCCUAAGAUGCAAUUUUUGGAAUAUUUUGUUGGGGGAAUAACCCAUGACAUUCAUUCUCCUGUUCGCAAAUUCGAGUCACGAAACCAUUACCAACUUGUGCAACUUGCACGUGAUGUUGAAGCAAAGUUGACAAAUUGUAAUUGUAAAGAAAUGUGGUUGGACCUAACUCAACCCUACAAAAUCGGCUAGUAGGGUGAAGAUUGCCCCCACUUAUAAGCACAUGGUCAUGCCAUAUAUUAUUCAAUGUCGGACUCUUAACACACCCCCCACGCUCAGGACUAGACAACUGGAGCGUGGAAAUAAAUGGUGGGUGGCCCGAUAGCAGAAACCAUAAUAGGUGGUCCACCGGAUCUUAAACCAGACUCUGAUACCAUGUUAAGAAAUGUGGUUGGGCCUAACUCAUCCCUACAAAACCAGCUAGUAUGUGAGGAUUGUCCCCACUUAUAAGCACAUGUUCAGUCCAUAUAUUGUUUGAUGUGGAACUCUUAACACACCCCCUCACGCCCAAGAUUAGACAAUUGGAGCGUGGAAAUAAAUGGUGGCCCAUCAGAUCUUAAACGAGACUCUGAUACCAUGUUAAAAAAAUAUAGUUGGACCUAACUCAACUCUACAAAACCGGCUAGUAAGGUGAGGAUUGUCCCCACUUAUAAGCACAUGUUCAAGCCAUAUAUGUCUAAUGUGGAACUCUUAACAGUAAUAAUUCAAGUCAAAAUAGAGAGUUUCAGGUCAAAGUUAGAUACAAUGCUUUUGGGGAUUAUUCACCUAAGCCAUGGGCUAUUCCUGAAGGUGACCACAUGGGCGAGCAAGUUUAGUCAAAUCCGGGUCAAAUGGAACGGUCGAGCUUAUUUCCAACCCUUAAGUUCUUCUAUCUCAAUCAGUUUCCCAAAUCAAACAACUACAUUAACCACUGGGUAGCACCAGAGAGGAUCUUCGUCGACCUCCAAUAUGUGGUUCUGUUGUAAUGAUCAAUGGCACUCGCUCCACCAAUAUGUUGGCAAGCAACUUUAUGUCAUUUUUGUUUAAUGAAGAUGAAACAUUAAACACUGAAAUAGAAGUUUUAGCCUUUGAAGCCAUUGUUGAAGAGGUUGAAAAGGUCUAUGACCCUGGAUGCAAAUAAAUGAUGGAUGUUUGGUAUAUCUCAUUCUAGGCCUUUUGGAACAAAGAGUACCCAUGUGGAAUGGUUGAUAAAAAAAGAUUUAGAGUUAGUGUUAAUUGACAGUGGUGCAUUUAUGAACGAUUUGGGCUUUGGGUCUUCUUGUAUAUCUUAUAAAACUAGUAGGUGUGCAGUUGGGAGAUGGUCAUAGGAUCAUGACUUUGGGUACCUGUGAGGGCAUGCUAUUGACUAUUGGUGACUUAAAUUUGACUUAUGGUACUUACAUUUAAGAAUUGGGCAACGCGGAUAUGAUUCUUGGGUUGUUUGGCUUAAAACGUUGGGUAAGGUUAUUAUUGAUUGGAAGGGCAUGCCUAUAUGAUAAUCUUGGGUGCCCUUUUACAUUGCUAUGGAAAUAUAAUCAUGAUGCCUCAACUCGUCUUUGUAGUUUAGUGACCAAUGCAUUUCAUUUUGUAUUUUAAGAAAGAUAUUGUAGGACUACCAGUGUGGAGCUUCCGACAGACUUGCUAUAAUAUAGAAAUACACAGUUGAACACAUUUUUCGGAUAAUUGCAAAUGCUUUAAAGGAAAUUCACCGGUUACCAUCCCUAUAAAUGUUUUUCAUUUUAUUCCCUUAUUGCAUGGGGUUGACCCUGUUAGAUUCACCCUUAUAAACCCUAUUACUAGAAAAUAGAGAUUGAAUCUCAAGUUAAAAAUCGGAUGCAGUUUUUGGCAAUUAGAAAUAACGUAAGCUUUUUUUUUUUCGUUCCUAUUAUUUUGGUAAAAAUGGUAGACGAUUUGUGACAGAUGUGCGUGUGGACUACGUGACCUUAAAUAAGGUGAUUCUUCAAGAUAAGUAUCUUAUUUCGAUGGUGGAUGAUUUAUUGGAUGAGUAUUUUGGUGUAUAAUAUUUUUCUAAAACCGACUUUAAAUUGAAAUAUCACUAAAUUUUGGUGCACAAUACUUUUCAGACUUAUGAGGGUCUCUUAUGAGUAACGGUAUAUGAUCAAUUCUUUUGGGUAAUGAAUGCCCCUACUACUUUUUAGUCGAUUAUGAAUUCUAUCUUUAAGCCAUUCCUGUGCAAACUCGUGCCAAUAGUUUUUGAUGAUAUUAUAAUUUCUAGCACAAAUUUGAGCACUCAUUUGUAACAUUUAGAGGUUGUUUUGCAAGUAUUACAACAUCAUGUUUUUUUGGAAAGUCAACAUAAAUGUGUUUUGGACAACAAAUUAUUGAUAUCUAAGCCACAUGAUUUUUAAACAAGGGGUUGUUGCGAUCCUAGCAAGGUAGGUAUUGUGAUCAAUUGACUGAUCUCAACCAAUGUAAAAGGUGUUUUUUGUUUCUUAGGGUUGAGAGGAUAUUAUAAAAAGUUUAUUGCUAACUAUGGGAGGAUUCCAAAACUGCUUAGAGGGUUAACGAAAAAAGACAAUUUCAAUUAGAAUUUUGAGGCAGAAAAGGUUUUUUAGCAACUAAAAGUGGAAGUCGCUAUGUCCUCAGUGUUGACUCUCCCAAAUUUUGACAUUUUGUUUGAGAUUGAUGUGACGCUUUUGAAAAGGGUUUUUAAAAGUUAGAGACUUUUCAAAGACAAAAGUAAGUUGCCACUAUUUCUAGUGGAUUGUUGCAACCUCUCCCGUUCCAUUUUUGGUGUGGAAUGAGGUUUUUAUGGAUUUAAUCAUAAUGUUGCAUAAGAGUAAAGGAUAUGAAGUUGUUUUGGUGGUAGUAUACCGUCUCUCUAAGUACUGACACUAAUCAAUCAGUGUUUAAAAGUUUUUCUCCAUCGUUUUAUUAUUGAUCAACCCAAGUCUUGGUCUUAUUGGUUGGCUUGGGCUAAGUUAUGGUAUAACAACCCAUUUCAUGUAUCUACCAGGCUUUUAAUCCGUUUAAAAUUGUGUAUGGGCAGAAACCAUCAAAUUUGGUGCAAUAUUUGUAAGUAGGGACAAAGGUGGCAACAAAGGCUCAAAAAUUAAGUUAUAGAGAUAAAGUAUUGCGUCAACUCAAGUAUAAUCUGAUAAUGGCUCAUGAGCAGAUGAAGUUUUACGCUGAUUAGAAACAGAAAAAUGUGAAGCUUAAGGUGGACAUAAUUUGGUGCAAUAUUUGGAAGGAGGGACAAAGGUAGCAACAAAGGCUCAAGAAUUAAGUUAUAGCGAUAAAGUAUUGCGUCAACUCAAGUAUAAUCUGUGAAUGGCUCAUGAGCAGAUGAAGUUUUACGCUGAUUAGAAACAGAAAAAUACGAAGCUUAAGCUGGACAAAUGAGUUUCUUAAAACUAAGACCUGGUAGACAUAAUUCACUAGUGCAACACACCCAUCAAAACUUAUCUCCAAGUUUAUUUGGUCCUUGCAAUGCAAGAAUCUUCAACAGAUAAGGGAGGUGAUGUACAAACUAGAGUUGUCAGCAACUUCACGAGUUUAUCCUAUUUUUGACUUACUUCACGAGUUUAUCCUAUUUUUGACGCGUUGUAAUUGAAGAAAAUUGUGGGACACUAUCAAACUAUUGCAGACCUACCUACAAGUAUGGGGAGGAUUUAAUUGACAUUACUCAGCAUGACAAGUGAUGUCAUGGCAAGAUAUAUUCGAAGAGGGACAACAUGUGAGAGUGUUUAGUGCAAUAGAAAGGCAUGGAUGCAUUUGAUGCUAUUUGGAAGUCUUAACUACUACUUAAAAGAAAUUUUCUAGACAUUAGUCUUAGGGACAGUACUUCAUUUGAUGGGAUGGGUAAUGAUAAGCCCACUUCAAUCGAGGAUGAUAUUUUAUUGGACUUUAAGCAUGAUAAGCCCAUAAGCCCAAGAUUUAGAGAGUUUAUGAAAAAAAAAGAGUUGUGGAGGGCAUUGCCACGUAGAUCCCAUUUUGACAAUUAGUUAAAAAUUUCACCUUAAAAAUGGGGAAGGCAGGGUGUGCCCCUUAGGUCAUAAUUUUAUUUUAUGACUUGUAUUAGGUAGUAAAAGAACUGUAAUAGGAGUUUCAUUUCCAUUUCUAAUUAAUACCACUCACCUUCUCAUCCAUCUUCUAUUGUACACUGCUCCAUCAAUAAGAUUGAAAAUAUGUUAGUUCAAGUUAGGCUUUGUCACCUGCUAAAAAAUUUCAAGUCUAAGUCUGAUUUAUAAUUUAUCAUAGGCUUAUUUUUUGACCGGAGUUUGACCUUUUCGAAGACUUGACUGACCUAUUAGUCUACUUAAAAGUCUAUAGCAUUUGAACAUAUGUACAUAAGCAAUUCAACUAAUGUUUAAAUAGAUUAGAAAAUUAGAAGUACAAUGAGAUUAAAUGUGUAUUUGCAUUGAUUUAUCUGAACUUACCUAAUAGCAUAAGUUUUGUGAGAUUAUUUGUUUGAGAGAACUUAUAAAAAUACUUUAUAACAUUAUUCGUAGGAUUUCUUUCAAUUUAUUUUCACAAAUUUUUUAGAUAACUAUGUUUUACUUUUAUAUUUUUAAUAUAAAGUUAAAAUACAAUAUAAAAUCAACAAAUUCAUUCAUGUUUAUUAAAAUAAGUCGGCCUGAUUAUAAAGUUUUUUGUAUGGCCUGUGGCCUAGCCUAGUUAAUUAAAUAGACUUAACAAAAAGCCUAGGUAUUUCCUACCUAAAAAAAAACUUGGUUUGACAUACGUCUUUGUAAGUUAGGUCAUAAGUUUCUACUAAUUAGUCCGGCCGAUUCUCACUCCUGUCUAUCAAUAAGAAAGUAAACAUGUUAUAAUCUUACAGCUGCUAAUUAUAUAUGUUUUGAGUAAAUUAUACUUCACUUUUUAGAGAAAAAUUUAAAGGCAAUUUAAAUUACAUUCCAUCUUUCUUGCAUAUUAAAAUGGACACCCACUUUUUUUUAGAAAUAAAUACCAAGAAAUAAUUAUACUCCCCUGUUAGAGAGAUGUUCAAAUGCACUCUUCUUUUUUAAAAAAUAAAUAGGUAUCAUGCUUUAACCUGUUUUAAUACAAACAAAUACUUUUUAUAAUAACAAUUACUUUAAACUCUCAUUUUCUUAAAACCCAUUUAUUUAUUAUAUCUAAUAUUAAUAAUAAUUAACUUUAAAUAUUUAAUUAUGAAUUUUAUGAUUUGAAAAUAGAAAAUUUAAUUUAAUUAACAUUUUUAUACCGAUUUCAGUAAUUUAUUCAAUAUCUUUUUUUAUCUCAUGUUGCUUGAGAAGGGGAUGUGUGGUAUAUAUAUUGGCAAAAAGACUAUUAAAGAAAGAGAAAAAUAUUGGCAUAAGAUAUCUAUAAAUACCUUAAUUUCAGAGGCUGGACUCCCAAGUUGAUUAUGUUCUUCUUUUGAUUUGUUGUAUCGAUCAAUUACUGAUUUCAUGCUGGAAAAAUGAAAAUUCAUUGAAAAUUAUACUGUGUAAGAUAUGUGAGCUGUUGACUGUAUAUACAUUAUAUUCCAUGAAAGAUUUUAGAAUCAGACUGCAGAUUGAACAUAUUUAUAUAUCCAAUAAUAAUCUGAAACUUGAUACAAUUAGCUAGGUGGUAAUUCAAAGAUGCAAAAUCUGACAUAUAUAGUUCGAUAUCACAAUCUCAAUAGUAUUUGAUAACAUAUCAAUGUUAUUUCAAAAUUUAUUUGCACUAGUUUAUUAUCGUCCUUUUCUAAAAUAACCCGUAUUAUUAUUAUUUUUUUAAAUGAAGGUUAUUUCAGAUAUGUAUAUCUAAAUUAUGCAUAAUUAGAAACAGAUUUUGUUUUAGUAGAAUCAGUACCAUAGAAACAUGGUGAAAAAAUAAAAUGGUGAAAGUAAACAGCGAUAUAUAUAUAUAUAUAUAUAUAUAUAUAUAUAUAUAUAUAUAUAUAUAUAUAUAUAUAUAUA